UGACAAAUUUGCGAUAAGUGAUCUGCAAAAAAAUUCAACUUUUACCCCAGCAAACAAUAGCUAAUAAAUAAUCACAUGAGAAAGUGCUGAUGCCAAUAUGCAGGUCUCCUUUUGUUCCACAAUUUACGACGUAACAUUUAAAGAUCACUGCCUUAUGGACCAUCUCCCAAAUAUAAGACUAGGCAAAAACUGUACCAAUUCCAACUGGAAUACACCUGAAAUGCCCAGAACCUUCAAAAGAAACUGGAUGUAAUUCACAGUUGGAUCCAAUGCCUACCAUAAGCAUAAAACUUUUUGUUUUUCCUUUUUUGACAAGAUGAGAUUUUAGAAGACCUAGUAACACCUUUAAUUUUAUUAAAUGGAAUGAUAUUAUCAUCAUAAUUAACAACCUUGUAGUGUCUCCACAUAAAGCAAGAAAGAAUAGUCACUAGUACAAAUGGACAACAUAUGUUUAGGAGACAAUGUCAAGAGGUGGGUAACUCUCAUCAACUCAAAUGAAGCAACUCAAAAUCCACAAGAACCACUCAAAUGAACCAAAUUAACUAAAUGAACAAUUGCAAUCCCAAUCAACCUUAUUUGACGAAAUCUCAUGAGUAGAGAUGAAAAAACUUUACAACCCAUUGCAACUUCCGAACAAAUGAAAAACUAGUUGAAUAGCUAAUGAUGUCCUUAGAAAGGACAGUAAAUUAUUAGGGAAGGUAAAUUAAUGAAGAAAUAGUUCUGUGUACCAAGGACAUGUUUUAGUUGAAUAAAUAGAGCUCUUACUUGUUAUCAUAAGGACAAAAACAAUAGAUAUAUUAUGAAUUUAAGGAAAACUGGAAGCAUGAUCAGUGUUAUAUCAGCUGGUAAUAUCUCAGAGAAAGAAAAAAUGGCCAACGCAUGAUUUAAAAAUGCAAUUAGAAAUAUAAGCCAAUAAGGUAAAACUAACCUCUCACCACCAACAACACAAA
rnacentral:misc_RNA from 1 species